rnacentral:lncRNA from 1 species
UAGCGCCAACCCAGCUGCUUCUACUGGCUGGGUCCCAGUGAGCCCUCCCCACGGUUCAUGCAGCAUGUGGAGCCCUGAGAUGAGGCAAGAGUUUGCACCCGCUUGGCUUCAUGGUGCAAGAACGUGGAUUCACAGAGGAGUUCCAGCAAACCCUGCCCAAGAGAGCUGCCCUGCCUGGGGACCUUCUGGGGAAAGGCAGCCCCAGCACCCACCAGCCCUCUCUGCACACGGUGGGUUCUCAGGAUCACGUGGGGUGUGAUGUGGCUGGCAGCAAGGACAUGAGUGAGGCUCAGCUUGGGUGCCCAUCUGCUGCUGUCUUUGUUUUGUUUUUGAUACUGAAGCUUGAACUCAGGGCCAUUGCACUGAGCUACACCCCCAACCCUCUUGACUCUUCAUUUUGAGACAGAGUCCUGCAGUGUCACUAAAUUUCACAGCCUGGGUUCGAACUUGCAAUCCUCCUGUCUCGGCUUUCCAGAGUGCUGGGGUUACAGGUGUGAGCCACCACGCCUGACUCUGCUGGUGUCUCCAAAUAAGAUGUUCAACCUUUCAGUUUCUUCAUCUGAGCAAUGAAAGUAACUAAUAAUUGGGAAGGGCUUUCAUGGAAAUUAAAGUAGCAUACUCAUGAUGAGUCAGGCCUCAUGUCUGACACUGGAGAUGGGCUAUUUUUAAAACCAAUAUGUGUAUGUGCAGGUGUGUUUGUAGAUAUUUAAAAUACAUCUACUUAUCAAGCAAAGAAGGAAAUUA